rnacentral:rRNA from 1 species
GUGCUUGCACUUUGCUGACGAGUGGCGGACGGGUGAGUAAUGCUUGGGAACUUGCCUUUAGGUGGGGGAUAACAGUUGGAAACGACUGCUAAUACCGCAUAAUGUCUACGGACCAAAGGGGGCUUCGGCUCUCGCCUUGAGAGAGGCCCAAGUGAGAUUAGCUAGUUGGUGGGGUAAAGGCCUACCAAGGCAACGAUCUCUAGCUGUUCUGAGAGGAAGAUCAGCCACACUGGGACUGAGACACGGCCCAGACUCCUACGGGAGGCAGCAGUGGGGAAUAUUGCACAAUGGGGGAAACCCUGAUGCAGCCAUGCCGCGUGUGUGAAGAAGGCCUUCGGGUUGUAAAGCACUUUCAGUUGUGAGGAAAGGUUGGUAGUUAAUACCUGCCAGCUGUGACGUUAACAACAGAAGAAGCACCGGCUAACUCCGUGCCAGCAGCCGCGGUAAUACGGAGGGUGCGAGCGUUAAUCGGAAUUACUGGGCGUAAAGCGCACGCAGGCGGCUUGUUAAGCUAGAGGUGAAAGCCCCGCGCUCAACGUGGGAACUGCCUUUAGAACUGGCAGGCUAGAGUCUUGGAGAGGGGAGUGGAAUUCCAGGUGUAGCGGUGAAAUGCGUAGAUAUCUGGAGGAACAUCAGUGGCGAAGGCGGCUCCCUGGCCAAAGACUGACGCUCAUGUGCGAAAGUGUGGGUAGCGAACAGGAUUAGAUACCCUGGUAGUCCACACCGUAAACGCUGUCUACUAGCUGUUUGUGUAUUUAAUACGUGAGUAGCGAAGCUAACGCGCUAAGUAGACCGCCUGGGGAGUACGGCCGCAAGGUUAAAACUCAAAUGAAUUGACGGGGGCCCGCACAAGCGGUGGAGCAUGUGGUUUAAUUCGAUGCAACGCGAAGAACCUUACCUACUCUUGACAUCCAGGAAAUUUUUCAGAGAUGAAUUAGUGCCUUCGGGAAUCCUGAGACAGGUGCUGCAUGGCUGUCGUCAG